rnacentral:lncRNA from 1 species
CAGGCUGAGCCUUAAUCUUCAAGCCCAACCCUCCUCGAUGGACCUAUUUUUCAGAUCCAAUGCACUUCCGCAAGCCUUAAAUUUUGACCUGAGUGUGCCCAAAAGUUUGGAGCUCGAGUAGGCCAGACAGGCCAUCGGGUCCGUAAACAGAUCCACUUGAAGACCGUGAACAGGCCAAUUUGGCUUAUGGCUGAAUCUAGGAAUAUGGUCCCC